UGUGUAGGUGGCUGAGAAAGUCAAAGAUGAAAUCCCGAGGCCUAACCUCGGAACUGUCUUUGAAACUGUUCAGCUUGAGGAUAGUCGAGGAGAACGGAAUUCCCGGUGGAGCGGUGAAAUGCGUAGAUAUCGGGAGGAACACCAGAGGCGAAGGCGGUUCUCUAGGCUAAUCCUGACACUGAGACACGAAAGCUAGGGGAGCGAAC
rnacentral:rRNA from 1 species